AACGAACGCUGGCGGCAUGCCUAACACAUGCAAGUCGAACGAUGCCUUCGGGCAUAGUGGCGCACGGGUGCGUAACGCGUGGGAAUCUGCCCUUGGGUUCGGAAUAACUCAGAGAAAUUCGAGCUAAUACCGGAUGAUGACGUAAGUCCAAAGAUUUAUCGCCCAAGGAUGAGCCCGCGUAAGAUUAGCUAGUUGGUGGGGUAAAGGCCUACCAAGGCGACGAUCUUUAGCUGGUCUGAGAGGAUGAUCAGCCACACUGGGACUGAGACACGGCCCAGACUCCUACGGGAGGCAGCAGUGGGGAAUAUUGGACAAUAGGCGAAAGCCUGAUCCAGCAAUGCCGCGUGAGUGAUGAAGGCCUUAGGGUUGUAAAGCUCUUUUACCAGGGAUGAUAAUGACAGUACCUGGAGAAUAAGCUCCGGCUAACUCCGUGCCAGCAGCCGCGGU
rnacentral:rRNA from 1 species